GUUCAAGAUGAGAUUUGGUGUCAUGAUU
rnacentral:piRNA from 1 species